CUGUGGGACAUCCCAGGACAAGCCAAAUCUCAUCCUCCCCACUUACUAAGUCACUCCAUCUCCAGCUUCUGUGCUGGCUUCCUGCAAAGGACAGUACUUGCCAAGGAGCUUUGCCUCUCGCGAGGUGGCUGACGGUAGGCAAGUUACUUAAUAUCUUUGAGUUUGGUUUCUGCAUAUCUCCCUUACCCCACAUUUUUCCCUUGAAAAGAAAAAGUGGUUCAGCCUACAAGCUAGUCUCUGACAGUGCUCUGGGCACACAGUAGUCACUCAGCAAACGGUAACUGCAAUGAUGGUGAUGAGGAAGUAAGAGGAGCUCCCCAAAUGAUGAUGGAAUGUGAAGUCGUUGCCCUUUUCAGAGGCUGCUGGGUCUGAGAUGUGGGCCUGCCUGCCUGCCUCCCGCCUGGACAAUGCUUGCUUUUGCAAGAGGCAGCUCCUUACGUGGGAGAUAUAUGUCCUGCCGUAAAGUGUUUAAUAUUUUAGCUCCUAAUUGCGUUACCAGAGACAGACAGCUGUUUAUCCUCAUCACUCUCCCAUCACUGUCUUUGGCAGGACCCACUGGGCGUCGCCUUGCUUUCUUUUCUGAAAAUCCCGGACGGCCAUUCAGGCCCCUCCAGGCAGUUCCGUGUGGUCAGGCGGUGAGUGGUGCCAGCAGGCGGGGGCCUGUGCUUGGCAUCGUGUGGGUUCGAGGCGACCCACAUUCCCUAUCUGCCUCCCCCUCUCUGCCCACUGCCUUCCCGUUUGUUAAGCACUGUGGCAGCCAUCAGCUCAUCUGAUUCUCCCAGCAGCCCUGCGAGACAAGAACUGCUAUUAUUGAUCCCAGGAUAGAGAGGAGGGAGCUGAUGCUAGGAGAGGCUGUGAAUUUCACUCACUCACUCAUUCAUUCAUUCACUCAGUCAGCCAUCCUUUUCGGUAGGAGCAGCGCUGUGGAAGGCACUAAGGACGGUGACGUGAAUGCCGCCCCUACUCUCAGGGACCCACAGACUUGCCCAGAUGGAAAGUGACAAUGACACGACCAUCCUUGGGCUAUCUCUGUCCCCCCAGGUAGUGCUCGCUGCUGGCAGAGUUCUAGUUCUAAAACACGAACCAACCUCAUGUCCACAGCUCUUGGAUGGGCUGCUCUUAGUUUAAAGCCCCAGACCCUAAUCUUUCUAUUCAAAUUCUUGUCUGGCCAGCCUCCUCUCCUGCCAUCUUCACUAUACUGAGCCCCACGGAAACUCACGCUUACCAACAUGUGACACAUGUGACAGCCCUGCUCGUUGGCGACCCGACAGCCAUUCCUCUCUUCCAACCAGCUGUGUUCCCUGCUAGCAGAGCUCUGAUGCUGUGGGAGUGGUGGGCAGACACUCUGGUACCCAGUCCCUCAGCAGCCCCAGUGUAAACAAGGCAUGGUUAUCUUAAUCCCCUUUGCCAGGCACUUCCCCAGCCUUCCUCACAGAUGGUGGUGACCAGCCCAAUGACAAAGUCAGUGAGAAUAGGGGAUCGCUAUGGACCGAAUGUUUGUGAACCCCUCAAAUUCAUGUGUUGAAACCCUAACCUAAUACCCUUGAUGGUAUUAGGACGUGGGGGUCUUUGGGAGGUGAUUAGGUCAUGAGGGUGGAGCCCCCAUGAAUGGGAUGAGUGUCCUUAUAAAAGGGACCCCAGAGAGCUCUCUCUCCCUCUUUCCACCACGUGAGGAUAUAAUAAGAAGUUGGCCAUCUGCAACCGGAAAAGGGCUCUCAUCAGAACCUGAUCGUGUUGGCACCCUGAUCUCAGACUUUCAGCCUUCAGAAAUGUGAGAAAGAAAUUUCUGUAGUUAUAAGCCCCCCAGUCUAUGAUACUUUGUUAUAGCAGCCCGAACAGGCUUAGACAGGGAUAUAUGCCAGAGAGCUUUAGGACAGAAAGUGGAAGCAUUCCCUUGAGUCUCCCCAUCCUCUUCUUCCCCUCUGGAACAUGGUUGCGAGCAGAUGUGAUGUUUGGAGCCUCAGCAGCCAUCUUUUGAUCACGUGAUAACACACAAUGAACAAAAAGCCAGUACGCUAAGGAAGGCUGAGCAGAAACGUGGGUGAGUCUGGGUCUUUGCGGGCAUCGUUGGGCCUCCAUAUAACCCCGGGACCAUGCUGCUCUUGGGUAGCAAUGACAUGCCCCUCUGCAGAUACCACUGCUCUUGGGGUCUCCCUGGUUUGCACUGGAUGCAUCUUUUUUUUUUUAUUACUUGUAUUUAAUUUUCACUACCUCCUUUUUUUAUUGUGAUUAGAAUUUUUUUAACAUUUUUAUUGGAGUAUAAUUGCUAUACAAUGGUGUGUUAGUUUCUGCUUUAUAACAAAGUGAAUCAGUUAUACAUAUACAUAUAGCCCCAUAUCUCUCCCCUCUUGCAUCUGCCUCCCUCCUACCUUCCCUAACCCACCCCUCUAGCUGGUCACAAAGCACCGAGCUGAACUCCCUGUGCUAUGCGACUGCUUCCCACUAGCUAUCUACCUUACGUUUGGUAGUGUAUAUAUGUCCAUGCCUCUCUCUCACUUUGUCUCAGCUUACCCCUCCCCCUCCCUGUGUCCUCAAGUCCAUUCUCUAGUAGGUCUGCGUCUUUAUUCCUGUCUUGCGCCUAGGCUCUUCAUGACCAUUUUUUUUUGGUUUUUUAGAUUCCAUAUAUAUGUUAGCAUACGGUAUUUGUUUUACUCUUUCUGACUUACUUUACUCUGUAUGACAGACUCUAGGUCCAUCCACCUCACUACAAAUAACUCAAUUUAAUUUCUUGUUAUGGCUAAGUAAUAUUCCAUUGUAUAUAUGUGCCACAUCUUCUUUAUCCAUUCAUCUGUUUAUGGACACUGAGGUUGCUUCCAUGUCCUGGCUAUUGUAAAUAGAGCUGCAAUUAAUAUUGUGGUACAUGACUCUUUAUGAAUUAUGGUUUUCUCAGGGUAUAUGCCCAGGAGUGGGAUUGCUUGGUCGUAUGGUAGUUCUAUUUUUAGUUUUUUAAGGAACCUCCAUACUGUUCUCCAUAGUGGCUGUAUCAAUGUACAUUCCCACCAACAGUGCAAGAGUGUUCCCUUUUCUCCACACCCUCUCCAGCAUUUAUUGUUUGUAGAUUUUUUGAUGAUGGCCAUUCUAACUGGUGUGAGAUGAUAUUGCAUUGUAGUUUUGAUUUGCAUUUCUCUAAUGAUUAAUGAUGUUGAUCAUUCUUUCAUGUGUUUGUUGGCAGUCUGUAUAUCUUCUUUGGAGAAAUGUCUAUUUAGGUCUUCUGCCCAUUUUUGGAUUGGGUUGUUUGUUUUUUUGAUACUGAGCUGCAUGAGCUGCUUGUAAAUUUUGGAGAUUAAUCCUUUGUCAGUUGCUUCAUUUGCAAGUAUUUUCUCCCAUUCUGAGGGUUGUCUUUUGGUCUUGUUUAUGGUUUCCUUUGCUGUGCAAAAGCUUUGAAGUUUCAUUAGGUCCCAUUUGUUUAUUUUUAUUUCCACUUCUCUAGGAGCUGGGUCAAAAAGGAUCUUGCUGUGAUUUAUGUCAUAGAGUGUUCUGCCUAUGUUUUCCUCUAAGAGUUUGAUAGUGUCUGGCCUUACAUUUAGGUCUUUAAUCUAUUUUGAGUUUAUUUUUGUGGAUGGUGUUAGGGAGUGUUCUAAUUUCAUUCUUUUACAUGUAGCUGUCCAGUUUUCCCAGCACCACUUAUUGAAGAGGCUGUCUUUUCUCCAUUGUAUAUUCCUGCCUCCUUUAUCAAAGAUAAGGUGACCAUAUGUACGUGGGUUUAUCUCUGGGCUUUCUAUCCUGUUCCAUUGAUCUAUAUUUCUGUUUUUGUGCCAGUACCAUACUCUCUUGAUUACUGUAGCUUUGUAGUAUAGUCUAAAGUCCAGGAGCCUGAUUCUUCCAGCUCCUGGAUGCAUUUUAAUAGAUGGCUGAGUCAGCCUCUUUUAUCCCCCUGCCUGGAAUGCUCUUUCCUCUGGUUUUGUUUUGAAAACUGCUUCUCAUCUUUUAAGACCCAACUCAAGAGUCCCUUUUUGAGAAGUUUUCACCCCAUCCUGACUACAGGGUUGAGCGCCCACUUAUUGGAGCCCCUGCAGUACUUAGUUCAGGCUCCUUGUAUCCUCUUCCUGCCAUGGUGGGUGCUGCCCACGAUUGGGCCAUUCACAGGGCGGCAGGCGACUCAGCUUGUCCUGGCACAGCUGCCCAGAAAAGGGAUCGGGGCCAUUCUCUCCAGGUAGCUGGGGCUGGGGCCCAUCGCAAACUAAGGCCCAAGCAUAGCCUGCUGGGGGAUGAAGUCAUGUGGAAAAACACUGGAGUCAGAACAAACCUGUCUUUCUGCAAAUGACUUCAUCACAUUGCCAGAAGGCUCGGAUCACUCCACCUCUUACCUCUUCCAGCCCGCCCAUGGGAUCGGGAAAGACCAGUUCCUCGAGUCCUGUUGCAUCUCUCAGGCAAAAGUAAAUGUUACAGAGACCCACCCAUGAGGUGCUGGGGAGCUGAUGCCUCCACUUCCUCCACAGCUGGGGCUUCCUCUGAGCUCUCAGGCUGGGAAGGCCUGGAGGGCACGUCGGGGCCUUCUCCACAUCUGUGUUCACAGUGCCCAGCACAGAGACCAGCAAAAAUGUAAAAUAAAAUACUCACUCACUAAAUGCAUGUGUUCAUGAACUCUACAAAUACUCAGCAGUUCUUCUGCUCUUUCUACCAGCAUCACGGGGGCACUGGGGUUAUGCUCACAGAAAGAGGAAAUAAAGGAGGGAAAGAGGGCAGGGAGGAAGGAGUAAAUUCCUCACUAGGGUGAUAGAGCCCCACAAAGCAGACUGGGCCCUGAGAGAGGCGUCAAGGAAGCUGAGCUCUAGCUCUUAUUCCAGCAAAUACAUUUCUAUUCAACAGCUUUCUUGAGCAGAGCCUCUAUUCCCGCUGUGUGGUGGGCACCUAGGGGAGCCAUUCUAGUUCUCUGGCAGUGAAAGUCAUGCACGGGGGACGGACAAUAACAAUGACACGGUUACAGGCUGUAUUGGAGUUGUGGACAGGGUAGCGGGGGGCGCGCAGGAGGAGGUGCUGGGUGGGCUGGCCAAGGAGGUCAGCCUUGAAGGAUGAACACACCAGGCUGUCCAGGAGAUGGUGGAAAGGCUUUUGAGGCUGCAGGGUGCUUGGAAAAGGGCAAGCAAUUCCAUGUUUUGGGAGCAGAGGGUACGUAAAGGAAGUCGCAAUAGUUGGGGCUGGUAAGGCAGGCUGAGGGGCCAGACUGCGGGGGGGUGAGGUUCACUCUGCUGGAACAAGGAGCCAUUGAAGGGCUGAAGAGUAGAGCGUCCGGUCUGGGUGUCCAUUUCAGGAAAGGUGCUUUGGACUGGAUGGCAGAACGGCUAUAACGCAGUUACCAACCAGGGGAUCCCUGGAGUGGUUCAGAGGCAAGAGGGAGAUGGCCUAGAGUAGAGUAGUGGCAAUGGGUGGAGAAGAAGAGGAAAGAGAGAUAGUGAUGCUCAUUGCUGAUGGGACUUGGGGACCACUGGGAUGAGGUGGGAAGUGGGAUCUAGGGAUGUUCUGGUCUCUUAGAUUGUAAGUUAAAAUUUGGAUUCUAAUGCUAUGGCAGAGAAACUCAAAUCAGUGGCUGAAAGAAGAUAAAAGACCGGGUAGGCAGUCCCAGACUGCUAUGGUGAUUCCACAAUAGUCAGAGACCCAGACUCCUUCUAUCUCGUUUCUCUGCCAUCUUUGAUACCCAGCCUUGAUCAUGUGGCCCAGAAUGGCUGCUCCAACUCCCUCUGACACAUCUGCAUUCCAACCGGUGGGAUAAGGGAAAGGAGGAAGGGGGUGCACCCGUUCUUUUCAAAGAUAUGUCUUAGAAAUCUGAUAACAUGCCAUUGGCCAAACUUAGAGGCAAGACCAUACAGUUGUAAGGGAUGCUGGGAAUUGUAGACUUCCAUGUGCCCAUCUAAAACUUCUUCCACUGUGGAGGAUGGAGAGAAGGGAUCUAUGGAAGAAAAGCUAGUGAUGCUGUGCAAGCCCACUGGCUUGUCUUAGUUUGAUAUUUCUUAUUUGAAAAAUACAUUCUGUGAAUUGUCAUACUUAUUUUUAACCAAAUAAAAUUUAAAUAUGAUCAAGUCUCUGCCAGCAGCAUGCUGUUUUCCUGGGAAAGUGAGGUCGCCCUAUUUGGCCUUCGUUCUCCCAACCGUUGAAGGAGACAUUGGAAAAUAUUCUUAACAUGGACCCCAUGGAGCUAGCCAAGGGGGGGCUUUUGGGGUCUGUGAAUACCAUGUAAUUAUAUGCUCAAUUUGGGGGUGUACAUUUUUUUCGGGAGAGUGACUAUGGCAUUCAAGGUUUAUGAGAGGUUUUUGACCCUAAAAAGUUGAGAAACAGAGUGAAAGAAUUACUCAUGGCCCUCCAUACCCAUAUUGUAUGAUUCCUUUCUACCCACCUUAUGGCAUACGCUUGGAAAGGAGUCUGGGGGGAAGAAAAGGCAAUUGAAGGACACUGGGGAGGUUGGAGCACGUGGCUCCAGCCUCGUCCUGACAGUGACCGCAUGGCGCGCGUGUGGUCCGCCGUCCAGGGGUCUUUCUCUCUAGUCCCUGCCCUGGCUGAAUUGGGACUUGGCUGGGUGUACACCUGGCACACUCUGCCUAACGUCUCCCAAGCAGUUCCCAAAGCUCCCAGCCAGGAGCCAGUUAGGAUUUCAGAGGCACAAGUGAGCCGCUGUGCUUGGCCUGCCAGGUGAAAAGAACAGAGCCCGUAUUAACGAGACGCUCCUCUCUUGGUAUCGGCUUUCGCUUUGCAGGCGAUGUCUCGGACCGGGAGCAAACCUGUCUCUCUGUCCGGAGCCAGGGAUUUGAUAUUGUCCUGAAUAGAGGUUUUCAUCCCCUAGCUAGUCGUCUGCCCUCUGUGGCGCCUGCCGCCAGUGCCAGGCUUGGCACGUGAGCCCCCAGCUGUAGGAGGAGUGGGUGAACGGGGCAGAACUGGGCUCAGCAGCUCCCCAAUCCACCCAGAUGUGGUGGAGGAGAAAGAGGCAUCCUGCGCUGGGAGAAGCAGCAAGGAAACAAGCGGAGAUCUGACCACACACGGAGCAAUCCCUUGGCAGGAUGGGUCCUGAUGUACGGAUGGUGUGUACCACGUGGGAAUUUCUCCACAGCCCACGGAUGAGCCAGACUCAUCAGGGCGGCACCACCAUCCACAGUCAGGAAGGUACAGAAUGAAGCUAGAAGCCAGGAUUUUAUCAAAGGGGAAAGGGCAAAGAGAAAAGCAUUGUGGCACCAAAAACACUUAGAGCAGGGGUGAGCAUCUCCAAACACAGAGGACGGGGAAGGAGAGGAGUGAAGGGUGGCUGAGGGACACCCCUGGACACACUUGGGAGAUGGGUCAGGAAGAAAGCAAUGUGAGGGGAGGAGGAGGCACGGGCUGCCAUGGAGGCCCCAGCUCGGGGUUCUGGCAGCUGGAAGAUGGUACCACCACCCCAGCAGAGCUAGGCUAGCAAGAGAGGUCAGGGCUGGGUGGCAGGGUGUGGCCCUGCAGUGGCGAGGGAGCUGGAGACAAGCCUAACAUCCUGACAGCUGGCCUGCCUCACUCUUACGUCUGCAGGCCCUCCAGCUCUUCCCCCUGCCCUGAGCUCUCACUCAGCGCAGGCUGGGGACUUGGCCCUGGCAGCCUUUGACUGCAGGUGUGGAACGGAGGAGGGCGGCCAAAGGAAAACAAACGGGAAGAAGGGAACCACUAUGCUUUCAAAGAGCUGCACACACAGGCUGGAGUCCUGGCUGCAAAACACUCAGUUGUCCGUCCUCUGGUUGAAGCCUGUGCGUUAGGGCAAACACCACUGAACUGAGGACAGCUCAACGGCACCGCCACUUACCACGCGUCCACGCAGGGCUAGGUCCUGGGAUGGGUGUGGCCAAGACAGAGACAAAUAAACCCCUUUCCUUGCCCUGAGAAAGCUCACAUUCUGGUUGGGGUGGAACCCAUAAGCUCUACUAAGAGCUUCCUGAAAGUCAACCUAGGGGUCUGACAUGCUUCUCUCGAAUUCCAGCCUCAUAGCAUGCUGUGUGGGAGGCCGAAUCCGCCACUGGAGCACACAGAGGUGCAGAGACGCUAGGCCACCUGCUUAGGACCACACAGCUGGGUCAUGGGGGAGUGAAUUUUAAACCCAAGUCCAUGUGAUGCUACCGCCUGCCUGUUUCCACCGGGGCAGACCCACACUCAGCUCUUUGGUUGGAGUGGUGUGGAAGGCCAUUGCGGCUGGCUCGAAGCCGAGGCUGGAGCUGCUCACAGGCCCUUCCACUGGACGUUGGCCAAGGCACAGUGACUCCUGAUUGGGUAGAUAGAUAAUCGAAGAGAUGAAAGGGCCUCCGGUUAAUAACCACCCACAGGGGACAAGGCUCCAGGCUCUGGAGGAGCUUGGAGGGAAUGGGUCAGGCCCUGCCCUCCAGGAGCUCACAGACCAGUAGGAAGUAGAUGCAAAUGUGUUAAGACCCACUCCACUGGCACCGGCCCGGACAAAUCUCUGUCCCUUCUGGGCAGAGUGACCUGAAGUGAGAGGGCAUCUCAGAACCUCAGUUUCUUUCUCUGUAGAACACAGGUAGUUGUGCCUAAUUUAUCGCAUUGCUGUGGAGAUUACAUAAAAUAAUGUGUGCCAAGCACAAGGCCUGACACAGAGCAGGAGCUCCAGAAUGUCUGGCUCCCAGAGCUUCCAUGGGGUACUCACAGCCAGCGGGGGUCGAGCGUUCCCCGCCCCACACAGGCCCCGUGGGGAAUCCCUGCUCCCUUCUGGAGAGGGCAGCCUGGAGAGCUUCCACCACCAUCCGAGGACCAGGGAGGAUGCAGAGGGCAACCGAGAGAGGUCCGGGGGCCUGGGUUAGCACCUGCCACCUAGAGAUGUGGGCCGGGCUGCUUGCCCCUCCGGGGAACAGCAGAGUCCUACGCCCCUGGCCUGCCCAGGCUCUACAGCAGAGGGUGCUAGUUUUGCCUAUGGGGCAGCCAAGCCUGGACUGGUGAGGUAAGAGUUGGUGGGCAUACGCCUCAGUCCCUCGGCCUCACAGACAGCCCCCGGGGGAAUGAGCUAGAUACCUCUUCAUUAAUACGUGCUUAAUUUGCUUGUCUGUAUUUACUCUCUUGUUCCCUGUGUUCCCACCGUGCUCCUAGGUUGGGGUCACUUCCCAGAUAAACCACUUGCACCCAAAUCCUAGUCUUAGGGACUGCUCCUGGCAGCCCAGCUACAGAGAAAUGUGUCGCUGGGUCACUCCAUGGCUGGGGACUGGGAGGGCCCUGUGGCUGGGAGAUGCUGUCUCCAUGGCCUCCUGGCUCCAGUGUCGCCUGGCUUUUCCUCAACGUGGCUGCCUCACCCCCAUGCCAAAGUGUGGGAGAAGUCAGGACCUUCUGCUGGCCGUCUGGAUCAUACAGUGACCUUCGGCUCCUAGGACAUAAGCACCUUCCUCCAAGGGAGGACCAGGUAGGUGGGAAAAAAUGAAACUGCUUUAGGCUAGCUUCAGGAGGGGCAGGAGGGGGUUCUCCCACGCCUCCUGUGAAAUGGGUGUGCCGGCUUUGUAUUUAGAGAGAACGCCGUCAAGGGACAGGGGAAAAGCGGCUGACUCACCAGUUCCUAAUGACACUAGCAGGCAGCAUCUGUGAGCCCUCCUGGGGCUUCGUCUCAGGAGGAGGGGGUGAUUUCCUUGCUGGUGCUCCAAUAUCAGAGUCCACAUCUCCACCUCCCUGAAGUGUGUCAUGCUCUGGCUUUUCACAGGAAAACUGCCUAAUGCCAUGGCAAAAGCAAGGUAAUAAAAUAUUCAUCUGCUGAGGCCAGAGGACGGAACUGAUCGUUUCUUCCAGGAGAAGCAGAGUCCUAAAUUAAAGACAUGCACAGAGCCAGACAAACGCACAUGCCCGACCAGCAGACAUUCCCAGGCACAUGUCGGAACAACACAGCCUCGCAUAUACAAGAAAGCAUAUGCCUAAAUGCUCACACGUAGGCACAUGGGCCCCGGUCACACACCUAUGCAGCACGCAAAACUGUUGAGGACACAUGGACGCCAUGUGUGAACGCAUGCAUGAACACUGCAUGUACCCGUGAACUCCCACCCUGUAUGCUCACCCACCCACAUGUCUACUCCCCCAACGUGGCAAUGAAAAAUGAUGUCUUAGCUGGUGUAUUGGGGGCAGAAGAGCCCACCACUGGGCCCUGACUUUGGAACAAUAGCAGCCUGUCUGGCUGUCCUGGGGAAACUGGGCUUUGUCAGGCAGAAAGCAAAUACUGUGCAGGGGGAAGUGUGACUCAGAGGUGAGUUACACAACUCCAUUCUGCCUGUGUGCUCUGCCCAGGAGGGGGAGGAGGAGGAAGGCUUGCAAAUGUGAACUCUGAAAGGGCUGCUGCACUUCUGGAAGCUUCCACAUGUCAUGUCACUUGUCCAGGCUAGUGGAGGCAGAGGCUCCCUGAGGGCAGAGUGAGUAGCUACUAUGCUGUCACGACCUCAGAGCCAGACCCUCCGCACUGACCCCUCCUGCUCAUCCGGCCUGCUUCCCAGGGCUCCAGCAUGCCUCCAAAGAGAGAACGUUAGCCCCUUGGCUCAUGAGGUAGGCGCGUAUGUUGACCUGGGUCUGCAAAGGUGAUUCUGCCUUCUGAUUGUUCUAGAAGCUCUGAUGGAGCAGCUCCUGAUGAAAGAUGCCAGACCUAAGAGUUUUGAAACGACCCCAGUUCACAGACCUCUUAAGAGAACGGCAAUGUCCCAGUUCCCUUGGAUGCUGUGUUUUUCCUUAUAUCCAUUCUGCAAAGAUCCACUGAACUUCUACCAGGACCUAGGGCCUGGGGUGACAGAGUUGGCUGCCCUAAGGAUCUCACAGGCUAUGAGGGAAGCAGACAAAGGCCAAGGGAUUAUUGCUAUUUGCUUUUGGAGGAGGGGACUCUACUGACUCUAGAAGAUUUACAAGUUGUCCAGAUAAAGAAGUAGGUAUGUGUUUGAGUGGGUGGGAGGUGGGCAGGGCAAGGGGUGGAGGAUGGAGAGGAAGCAGAUUUAAAUUCUGAGCAGAAAAGCAGCAUUCAAAAAAAGAAAACAGCUUUCUACAAAGGCAGUAUUAGGCCAGGGGCUGGCAAACCACAGCUAAUAGGCCAAUUCCAGCUUACUUCCUGUUUUUGUUAAUAAAGUUUUAUUGGCACACAGCCACGGUCAUUCAUUUAUGUAUUAUCACUGGCUGCUUUUGAGCAACAGUGGCAGAGUUGACUAGUCACAGCACGGCCCUCAAAGCCUAAAAUAUAUACCAUCUGAGCCCUUAUGGAAAAAAAUUUGCCAACUUCUCUUCUAUAUCUAUCCUUUAAUUCUGGAACCCAUAAGUCUAGAAUCCAGCAUGGUUUUCUAGAGCUCCCUGUAAGAGUAACAUUUGUGUAGGGAUUUAGACGUUUACAGUGAGCUUUUGCAUCAAUUAUCCCAUUUAAUCCUUCAACAAGCCUGUGUGAGGUUAAUGGUAAUUUUAUCCCAGUUUUGCAGAUGAAAAAACUAAGACAAAGGGAAAUAAAGAGACUUGCUGAAGACCACAUGGCUGGGAGAUAGCCGAGUCCCGGGCAGCCUGAUUCUAACAUUCCAUGGUCUUUCCACCACAUUAACCUACAGAUGUUUCUCUAUCACACAUUCCACCACUGAGCUGUCCUCCCUGACAAGCCAUUUCCCUCCUCCUUCCUAAUAUCUCUGCUGCCACCAAGGAAGGCUUUUGUCCAUUGUGCUGCCUUAGUGGGAGAGAGGGUUUGGAGGAGAAUCGAAUUUCCUUUCUGCAUCUGUUUGCGGAGCCUGGUGCACCCUGGGAUGCUAACGAACAGUGACAGAUGAGCUUCAGUUGGCUGGCGCGGGUGAAGAACCACUGGACCAGGUAAUUCCAAUCCACCUCCUCAGAACUCAAUCCAGGAGGGAUCCUGGGGUGGAGUGUGGCCCCUGCUCCUGGGGCUGAGAGGGUGCUGAGAAAAGGCUGUGAGACCCCGGCUGGGUCCCUCCAGGAGGAGUGGGCACCCUGAUAGACCCCCCUCAGAGCACAGGGCUGCAGCACUGUUGCUCAAUUUAUUUUCACAGGAGAUGCUCUUAAUAGAAUUACAUUCCAUUUAUUAGAUACAAGGACCUAAGAUGUGGCUGUGUUAUAUCAGGUGAAUUCGGAAGGUCCACCCCUGCCACACACACACCACACACUCUCUCUCUCUCUCUCUCUCUCUCUCUCUCUCUCUCUCACACACACACACACACACACACACACACACCACAUUUCCUGCAGCUCCGCGCUGCUGCUGACUGGGGCUCUGCAUGCUGUGGGUAACACAUUUAGCUCGAUAAAAUAUAAUAUACGACGGGAUCAUAUUUAACAAGGAAAACAGGGCCCGAAUGGACAGAGGAGCAGUGUGGCUGGGUUACCAUGGAAACCCCGGGUUCAGAAUUUCCUGACUCCUAGGAGAUUACAUUUUCAAACUUAAUGCUAUAUUAACAUAAGCUUUGGCACUUAAUGUCUCUGUUUUUCACCCGCCCCCCUCCCCCUUGCUUACAGGCAAAAGAAAGCAUCAUCAGAGAUGAGCCAGGGAGGAGGAGAGAGGCUUCACUUCAUGAAAGCCUGAAGAGCAUCCAGCAGAAACCCGCCGCAGCACCCUGACGAUGUGCUCUGCAGUCUUCAGAGUGUGUUGCAUCCAUUAUCUCCCGUGACCUGCAGACAGGCUCGAGAAGCAGGCUGAUGCGAGGUCACCAAGCCCCGCGCGUGCGGCCCCUCAAAUGCCUCUCGCGUCCGUUCCUUCUUCUCCGUUGCUCCACCACUGCCCUUUGUAUAUCUCUUGGGGAUAUUGCAAUAGCCUCUCAUGGUCUCGUGCUCCCAGCCCGUGCCCUCUCGUCCGCUCUUGCUGUCUCAGUGAUCUUUUUGUACCGCAAAUUUUUUCAUCCUGCGGUUGGUGUCAUAGCCUCCAACAACCCCACAAGCUAUAGACUAAAGUCUCAACUCCCGUGCAUUCAAGGCCUGCUCCCUCUCUCUACAGGCCCCUUUCCUUGGAGUUUCCACCAUAGCCCCACCGUCCAGUCUUUGGAGGUGAUGCUGUGAUUUCUGAAUACACCAAGUUCUUCCAGGGGCCGUGCCUCUGCUUGGGCCGUGAGCUCAGGCUGGACCUCUGGCCUCUCUCAUCCUGCUGACCGGCUCUUAUGCUUCUUUAACAGCAGCUCAGCAUCACCCACUUCAGGGGUCCCCUGCCCACCUGGCUGCCAGUGUUACCAGAGGGCUUAUACCGAAGGCUGUUGCAUUUCUCGCCACCUGAGGGUCCCCUGGGUCCUUCCUGCACCAGCCUCCUCCACCACGUUGGGAGCUCGUCAGGCCUACGAGUCAUGCCCCCUCACUGCCUUAUGCCCUCCACCCAGCGUGGUCCUGGCACCUUGUAGGGACUCAACUGGCACUGGUGAAAUCGAGUUUACAGCUGCCCAAGAGCCUUGGACCAGCAGGGCCAUUGGAAAGCCGAGGCCUGGAAGAAUGAGGCUCACAGAUCACCGGAGACACUUUGAUUCAUGGAAAAACCCACGAUUCUUCCCUCCCAGGAGAGUCACCAUUCUUCCAGAACAUGAGGUUCGCAAAGGUUUCAAGUUUUACGGUAAGGAUCCAGGGAGCCAUAGUGAAGACCAGAAUCUGUAGUCCCACAAGCUGGGACAUUACUUGGAAUAAGGAUCUUGGCAGACGUAAGUAUUGGAAGAAUCUUGAGACGAGCUUAUCUGGAGGAGGGUGGGCCCUCAAUCCAGUGGCAAGUGUCCCUACCAGAGACAGAAAGGAGAAGACGCACAGACACAUGAGAGAAGGCCUUGUGAAGAUUCCCGUGAAGACAAAGACAGAGGUUGGAGUCAGGGUCCAUAAGCCAGAGGAUGCCAGGGAUUGCUGACAAUCACAGAAGCUAGGAGACGGACCUAGAAUGGAUUUGCUCUCAGAGCUUCCAGAAGGAACCAAUCCUGCGGACACUUCUGGCCUCUAGAACUGUCAGAGAAUAAAGUUCUCUUACUUCAA